rnacentral:tRNA from 1 species
GGGCGAAUGGCGGAAUUGGUAGACGCGCUAGACUCAAAAUCUGGUGGUAGCAAUACCAUGUGGGUUCGAUUCCCACUUCGCCCACCA